rnacentral:rRNA from 1 species
GAUGAACGCUGGCGGCGUGCCUAAUACAUGCAAGUCGAGCGAACGGACGAGAAGCUUGCUUCUCUGAUGUUAGCGGCGGACGGGUGAGUAACACGUGGAUAACCUACCUAUAAGACUGGGAUAACUUCGGGAAACCGUAGCUAAUACCGGAUAAUAUUUUGAACCGCAUGGUUCAAAAGUGAAAGACGGUCUUGCUGUCACUUAUAGAUGGAUCUGCGCUGCAUUAGCUAGUUGGUAAGGUAACGGCUUAUCAAGGCAACGAUGCAUAGCCGACCUGAGAGAGUGGUCGGCCACACUGGAGCUGAGACACGGUCAAGACUCCUACGGGAGGCAGCAGUCGGGAAUCUUCCGCAGUGGGCGAAAGCCUGACGGAGCAGCGCCGCGUGAGUGAUGACGGUCUUCGGAUCGUAAAACUCUGUUAUUAGGGAAGAACAUAUGUGUAAGUAACUGUGCACAUCUUGACGGUACCUAAUCAGAAAGCCACGGCUAACUACGUG